rnacentral:rRNA from 1 species
AGGCUGAAAUUCGCCUUCAUGAAGCCGGAAUUGCUAGUAAUGGCAGGUCAGCAUACUGCCGUGAAUACGUUCCCGGGCCUUGUACACACCGCCCGUCACACCAUGAGAGUUGGGAAUACCCGAAGCCUGUGAGCUAACUAAUAGAGGCAGCAGUCGAAGGUAGAAUCAAUGAUUGGGGUGAAGUCGUAACAAGGUAAC